CUAAUAUGUAAAUUUAACCUG
rnacentral:siRNA from 1 species